GCACAGGAAGCCUAGUGCUCUGAAAAGUCAGAAGGAGGAACCUCUCCAGCUUUGAGGAGCCAGUUGAUCAGGAGCACACACAGCUAGAGGAGAGGAGUGGGAAAGGGGGAGAGAAAACACUGACAUUGGCUGCUGAGGAUGCACUGGCAGGCAAGAAAUACUCCCCAUGACCACAGCUAGGCUGGCGGCGGGAUGGGUGAAGUGACGGAGCUGCCUGAACCAUGAAAGCAGGAGCCGACAUGAAGAUUGCUGGGAAGACUGUGUGUGUUUUUGUGCUGCUCACCAUCACCAAGGUCAUGAGAACAGUAGGGAACAACAGAGUGUCAGCGACAGUAGGUAACAGCUGUGUGCUCACCUGCCCUCCCAAAUCAAAUAUAACUAUGGUAACAUGGAAAAUAAGCCCCAAGGUUGGAGGCCCUUGCACCUUGGGCUACAGGGCUGAUCAGAAUAAGACAGACAGAACAAACUGCAGUGACAGCAUGAACUGGAAAUUCAGACCAGAUCGGGAUCCUGCCCUUGAGAUAUGGCAAGUAGGAAUAGACCAUGAGGGAAACUACACCUGCGAAGUAGUAGCAACAGAAGGGAAUUUCCACAAGACGUACCACCUGACCGUGCUAGUGCCCCCAAGGCUGACCAUGUACUGUGAUGACCACGGGAACCCCGUGUGCAAGGCAACGGCAGGGAAGCCGGCUGCCCAGAUCUUGUGGGUCCUAGAGAGCAACUCCACCCCCAAGGAAGAAGGCCAUGACAACGGGACAGUGACUGUUCUCAGCACGUUCACAGCAUACAGCACCAACGUGACUAACACAACCUGCAUUGUGUCCCACCCAGCUGGGAACCAGAGCAUGACCAUAGCCUGUCAUCCCCCAGACAACAAUGGCUUUAUCCUGCCUGUCUCCAUCACUCUUUGUUUCCUGAGCAUUAUCAUCUUCAUGGCUGUCAUUUACUAUUUUAAACUCCACAGUGACAGACGCUGUGCAUUGCACACAUCUUCACUGAAUAAUGCACCUGAGUAAAACACAAAUGGGCAGAGGUUGGCAGAGGAUCCUCAUUGCAUUGCCUGCUAAAUAAAAGGGGAGCUCUUCAUUCUAAUAGGAAACUGGCAGAGUUAAGCUGUUCUUCAGAUACUGUGAUAGUCUGUCAGUGUCUCUCUUGUUUAGAUCAGGGGGUUGGUUCUGCUGCCUAAUAAGUCCUAUCAAGUGCCAGAGGACUGAUUGGUGCUAUCCUGCUGUAUCAACACAGGACACAGCAGACUGUAUCUCUAUUUAUAAAAAAGCUCUGUGGGUGAAGCUGGACUCUAGCCCCUUUAGGAUUUGCUGUGGAGAAAAAAGCAAUUCCAAGGAAAAACUACAGAAAAUAUUUGUGCAGAGAAAGGCUGAAUUAGCACCUGUACUGAAAAUCUCAGCUAUGUUCCCUUCUUCCCCUAUUCCAAAACUGUUUUUCUCCCACACCUUCUCCCUCAGAGCUGACAAAUUAGUUUAAUACAAUUUCACUAAACUCAAAUAGUACAUCCUUCCAGAGGACUUUGAUUUUAAUCUUCUGCUUCCGCUUUGUGCUUAAGCUCCAACAAACAUGAGAAAAGACCUCCAAAGAAACUCAGGGUGCCAUAAUUUCAGGACCAAAAGUCAAGGAGAGAAAGACAUGAGAAGGCUUUUUGGCUUUACUCUUGAUGACAUGAAAAAGAAAUGUUUUAUAAGCUUGUGAGCAGAGAAACCAGGCUGUGAUCCAGCCAAACUUAGGAUUAAGGAAGGAAUUUGCUUUAAUAAUUGUUUUCUUUUUCACAGACUGUGCCUCAAAACCAAACCUCCUGAAACUGCUCCUACACAUUCCCCACAGGAUGACACAAUGGAAGUGGAACCUUAUACUACUUAUGUGCAGAAGGAAAACGUAAUUUACAACUCAGUGUCUGAUCUGACAGUGGGGCAGAAUCUUCCACAAGGACUGUCACCAGCAACAUGAAUGGUUCAACAACACUGGGAAGGGAGAGAGACACUUUAUAAAAGACUGGUUAUAGAAAGAAACUUCUCAGAGGAUUUCUUCAGAUUUGGGGGCAACAAAGCUCACUAGGUCUGUUUAAACACCUGUGCUUGCUGAUGAGUCUCUACAGUUCUUUUUUUCCCUGUUUUGCCUUCUUCAUUGGGAAAGGAAACAGGUUUCCUGUUAUUCCUUUGGAAAAUGUGACUGACGCCAUGCCACAGUUUUUCCUGGAAAAGCUGUUGUGAUCAGUCUUCCCUUUGCUGUUCUUGCCUUGGAGAUCCUAGUUUUGUCAGUCAAUUCUAGGCAUUACUUUGAUGCACUUGACACUAUGUUGCACACAUUUGGGAGAUGGGAGGAGUGUUUUGUCUGAACUAAACGAACACUCUUCAAUGAACAGCCACUUUUUUCUAAUUCACAAAUUACUAACAUAGUGGCCUGAGUACUGAUCAUGACAGAAUAGCUCAAACGGUGGAAGAUAUUGGUAGGGAAGACCUUUAAUUCCCCAGUUCUGAAAAUGGAAAUGAGUGAUGAAUUUAGAAGGUCAUCCACUAAGAAAGAGACUUCACUAGCACGAUUAGUUUACUUGUUGGGUUCAUAUUCAGUAUUUCCACUAAAUGUGUUCAUUCUGUAUUUCAGAUUGUUGUUAUGAUUACUUUUCCAUAAGAUUCUCUGAAGAUAUGGUAUUCCUCUCUUUCUUAAGAGUAUUGGCAUUAAGAUACUGUAAAAGAAUUAUGUUACUCAAAUCCGGUAAGCUAGUUUUAACAGAAACAAACAUCAAAUAUUUCACAAAAUGAAACAAGUUCAAAUAUAUCUUUUAUAACUGUGCAAUAAUGUACAAAAAAGAUAAAAUGCUUGCUAAUUCUAGUCAUAUUUAUUUUAACUACCACAACUGAAAAUUUUUUUCAUUCAUAUGUCUACAUGUUUUAUUGAUAUUCUUUUAAAUAUACUUGCUAGUUCACUUUUUUGUAUGUAAAUUAGCUUAUAUAUCUUAAUGUGUCUCAUGUUGAGGUGACUUCUUCUCACCUUCCCAAAACAUCCGUUUCUGUAUGUCAUUUUAGAAUGGAAGGGAUCAAAGCUGAAUAUCAAUCAGCUACACACAAGUUUCAAAGGAACCUCAGUUUCCAGUGACUUACUGAGGAAGACAGGCAGUCAACUCAGUCAUAAUCCUCUGAAAUUCCCCACUUAAAAUAGGUGUAAUAUUGUCCAAUGAUCUUUCUUCCCACCCUAAACCAGAGUGCCAUCACUUCUUAGACUUUUUUUCUGUGGACUGGAAAGUCAUUUAUGUUGUUCAGUGUCCAUAAAGUGGGGUUCAUCCUAUGAGACAGCAGCCAGUUUAUAUGUAAUAUAUUCUAUUUACAUAAGUAUAAUACCUGCUAACCUGCUGUCUAGCUGUAGGGUUUUAUGAUCCUUUACAGGCCUAUUACACUGGACUAAAUAAGGUAUGGGAUGUUGCUAAGUUGCUAACUGGUUGAUUAUUUCCUUCGUCCUCUACUUUGUUCCACAUUUAGACCUGCUAUGGGCAGAAAACAGGAUUUUAGCUUGUGACUGUGAUAAAUAAUAUGAGUUAAGAGUCUUAUGUAUACACACAUAUACAAAUAUGCUCUUCGUCCCUAGCAGCACAGAAGGUCUAGACCAGAAAGUCCCUUCCUGCACUCCUCUUUCUCCAUCACGGUACUUGCUACUUCUCUUUGCAAUGUGCUGCUAUUGUGCUGCAGUCAUCCUCCAUGCAAAAUGCUGUGUUGACUGUCUUCUUAGUGGUCAGGCAAGCCUGCCCUCUAAACUCCCCAGCAUGUUGCAAAGUCACAGGAAGAAAGUCAGCAGCUUUUUGGCUCCUCCCAUAAAGAAAAGUUUGGGCUUUAACCACAUUUACCAAUGCUAUCUCUUGCUGCAACAUUUGAUUUUGCUAAAUUUGUAUCUCCCACUUUUACUGCUGUAUUUUAUCUUCACACACAUUCCAGUCUCUUGACAGUUUACAACUGCCACUCCUGCUCCAAUCAGCUAAUAAUCAUGGUUAUCUUAUGACUAUAGAGAGUCCUGAGCACUGAGCUUACAUGCACAGCAAGUCAGCGGAUUGCGUGCUGUUGUGCAUCUACAGAGCAGCUGUGCACUGAAGUGCUGCAGGCCUCCUUCAGACUAAGGGCCUGUUCUUUAAGAUGGCACUGGCAGUACUAAAAAAUGGGUGCACUACAAAUCCUGAGACUGAACAUAGCUUUUGUACAUACAUCAACUCCUGGGCUUCUCUAACCAGAAAUUAUUUUGUGGGAACAAAGUCAACCCGCUCAUUACCCAUUACAGCAACACAUAAGAUUUCAUUAAAUUGCAAAUUCUAGCAGAAAGGUCUUUAUAUCAUCACUUACCUGCUUCAAACAGCUUUCCUAACAACAGAAUCCAUUAAAAGUGGUGUUUCUGCAUCCCAACAGGUUUCGGACUUACAACUACAUUCUUCUGCCAGUAUCACCUACUUGUAUUUGUGGUUUGCUCCUUACCGUCUGGUUUGUAAUCUUGCUGUCCAGCAUAGACCUUCUGGUUCAGUGUGUGACUGCUCUGUAGUUCUGCCCGGCUUACUUCCAGUUAUGAAUUAAAAUGACUUCAGUAUCUUUUAUUUUCA